AGACCCGAAACCCGGUGAUCUAGCCAUGGGCAGGUUGAAGGUUGGGUAACACUAACUGGAGGACCGAACCGACUAAUGUUGAAAAAUUAGCGGAUGACCUGUGGCUGGGGGUGAAAGGCCAAUCAAACCGGGAGAUAGCUGGUUCUCCCCGAAAGCUAUUUAGGUAGCGCCUCGUGAAUUCAUCUCCGGGGGUAGAGCACUGUUUCGGCUAGGGGGCCAUCCCGGCUUACCAACCCGAUGCAAACUGCGAAUACCGGAGAAUGUUAUCACGGGAGACACACGGCGGGUGCUAACGUCCGUCGUGAAGAGGGAAACAACCCAGACCGCCAGCUAAGGUCCCAAAGUCAUGGUUAAGUGGGAAACGAUGUGGGAAGGC
rnacentral:rRNA from 1 species